UGAACGCUAGCGGCAGGCUUAACACAUGCAAGUCGAGGGGCAGCACGGGUAGCAAUACCUGGUGGCGACCGGCGAAAGGGUGAGUAACGCGUGAGCAACGUGCCCGUAUGUGGGGGAUAGUCGAUGGAAACGUCGCGUAAUACCCCGUAACACAAGGAACCGCAUGAUUCUUUGUUGAAAGAUUUAUUGCAUACGGAUCGGCUCGCGUGCCAUUAGCUAGUUGGCGGGGUAACGGCCCACCAAGGCGACGAUGGCUAGGGGUUCUGAGAGGAAGGUCCCCCACAUUGGAACUGAGACACGGUCCAGACUCCUACGGGAGGCAGCAGUGAGGAAUAUUGGACAAUGGCCGGAAGGCUGAUCCAGCCAUGCCGCGUGCGGGAGGACGGCCCUAUGGGUUGUAAACCGCUUUUGCGGGGGAGCAAUAAGGUGCACGUGUGCACCGAUGAGAGUACCCUGCGAAUAAGCAUCGGCUAACUCCGUGCC
rnacentral:rRNA from 1 species